rnacentral:rRNA from 1 species
CAGUCGCCGCGGGAACACGUAGGUGGCAAGCGUUGUCCGGAAUUAUUGGGCGUAAAGGGCUCGCAGGCGGUUUCUUAAGUCUGAUGUGAAAGCCCCCGGCUCAACCGGGGAGGGUCAUUGGAAACUGGGAAACUUGAGUGCAGAAGAGGAGAGUGGAAUUCCACGUGUAGCGGUGAAAUGCGUAGAGAUGUGGAGGAACACCAGUGGCGAAGGCGACUCUCUGGUCUGUAACUGACGCUGAGGAGCGAAAGCGUGGGGAGCGAACAGGAUUAGAGACCCCGGUAGUCCCUGUCUCUUAUAA